GACGAACGCUGGCGGCGUGCUUAACACAUGCAAGUCGAACGGCAAGGCCCUGCUUGCGUGGGGUGCUCGAGUGGCGAACGGGUGCGUAACACGUGAGUAACCUGCCCUAGUCUUUGGGAUAACUUCAGGAAACUGAGCCUAAUACCGGAUAGGAGCUCCUGCUGCAGGGUGGGGGUUGGAACGUUUCGGCGGUUGGGGAUGGACUCGCGGCUUAUCAGCUUGUUGGUGGGGUAGUGGCUUACCAAGGCUUUGACGGGUAGCCGGCCUGAGAGGGUGACCGGCCACAUUGGGACUGAGAUACGGCCCAGACUCCUACGGGAGGCAGCAGUGGGGAAUAUUGCACAAUGGGCGGAAGCCUGAUGCAGCAACGCCGCGUGCGGGAUGACGGCCUUCGGGUUGUAAACCGCUUUCGCCUGUGACGAAGCGUGAGUGACGGUAAUGGGUAAAGAAGCACCGGCUAACUACGUG
rnacentral:rRNA from 1 species